UACGAAGGGGGCUAGCGUUGCUCGGAAUCACUGGGCGUAAAGCGCACGUAGGCGGAUUGUUAAGUCAGGGGUGAAAUCCUGGAGCUCAACUCCAGAACUGCCUUUGAUACUGGCGAUCUUGAGUCCGGGAGAGGUGAGUGGAACUGCGAGUGUAGAGGUGAAAUUCGUAGAUAUUAGGAAGAACACCAGUGGCGAAGGCGGCUCACUGGCCCGGUACUGACGCUGAGACGCGAAAGCGUGGGGAGCGAACAGG
rnacentral:rRNA from 1 species